rnacentral:rRNA from 1 species
GUCCACGCCGUAACGAUGAGUACUAGCUGUAUGGGGUAUCGACUCCCUGUGUAGCGAAGCUAACGCGAUAAGUACUCCGCCUGGGGACUACGACCGCAAGGUUAAACUCAAAGGAAUUGACGGGGCCCGCACAAGCAGCGGAGCGUGCGGUUUAAUUCGAAGCUACGCGAAGAACCUUACCAGGGCUUGACAUGGCGUUGACCGCCGAUGAAAGUCGGCUUCCCUUCGGGGCGGCGUCACAGAUGCUGCAUGGCUGUCGU